rnacentral:rRNA from 1 species
AUACGGAGGGUGCAAGCGUUAUUCGGAAUCACUGGGCGUAAAGGACGCGUAGGCGGGUUGGCAAGUCAGAUGUGAAAUCCUACAGCUUAACUGUAGAACUGCAUUUGAAACUGCUAACCUAGAGUAUGGGAGGGGGAGAUGGAAUUAGUGGUGUAGGGGUAAAAUCCGUAGAUAUCACUAGGAAUACCGGAAGCGAAGGCGAUCUCCUGGAACAUAACUGACGCUAAGGCGUGAAAGCGUGGGGAGCAAACAGGAUUAGAAACCCUUGUAGUCC